AAUGAAGCGUUAAACUGGUUUUCGCUUUGAUCUUUCAGACAGAAACUAAUUCUGAGAUCAUUGUGAAAGCCAAUUUGUAGCU
rnacentral:pre_miRNA from 1 species